AAAUUGAAGAGUUUGAUCAUGGCUCAGAUUGAACGCUGGCGGCAGGCCUAACACAUGCAAGUCGAACGGUAACAGGAAGCAGCUUGCUGCUUCGCUGACGAGUGGCGGACGGGUGAGUAAUGUCUGGGAAACUGCCUGAUGGAGGGGGAUAACUACUGGAAACGGUAGCUAAUACCGCAUAACGUCGCAAGACCAAAGAGGGGGACCUUCGGGCCUCUUGCCAUCGGAUGUGCCCAGAUGGGAUUAGCUAGU
rnacentral:rRNA from 1 species